AACGUAAGGGGCCAGCGUUGCUCGGAAUUACUGGGCGUAAAGGGUCUGUAGGCGGUGCGGCAAGUCGGAAGUGAAAUCGCAGGGCUUAACUCUGCGGCUGCUUCCGAAACUGCCGUGCUCGAGUGUGAGAUAGGCGAGUGGAAUUGCAGGUGUAGCGGUGAAAUGCGUAGAUAUCUGCAGGAACAUCCGAGGCGAAAGCGGCUCGCUGGAUCACAACUGACGCUGAGAGACGAAAGCUAGGGGAGCAAACAGG
rnacentral:rRNA from 1 species